AAAAUUAAAGAUGUAUUUUGAUACAUCUAUGUUAAUAUUUCUGUAAAUUAAAAAAAAAAAAAAAGAAGUAGCCCAUUUCCCAGUCUGUUUCAGUGACUUCUGGAGAUUACUCUCAUUAUCUUAUUUAUGUAGUGGAAUAUAAAAUAAUAAAAUUAUUCUUUCUUAAUUUUCUGUAUUCUGUGUGUAUGAAUUUACAAUGCUGCCUUUUCUUUUUUUUUUUUACCUUUACCGUUUGCCUUGGAAAUUGAUUUUCCACUUUUCCAUCUGAGUGUAUACCUACAGUCUGGCUUCUUAAUACCUGCAGGCACUGAGCCCAAGCACCUCUGGAGAAGUGAGAGGCAGGCAGGGCUCUGACAGCUACGUGAUUCUUGUAACUAUAGAGCAAACUCAAAUUUCCUUAUUUUACUGCAAUUAUAAUGUAUAUUCCAUAGAUUCUGCCAGAGAUACCUCUUUCUUUUUGCAGAGGAUAUCCAGAAGUUUUGCCUUGCUGGAGAUCAAAUAAAACCAUUUCAGCCUGCAAUUGGGGUGGAAAUGGAGGAAGAGAGCAAUGAGACAGUCACAAUGUCAUUUACAGCAUGAAAGUGAAAAAGACUCAGCUGGCACUUCUAACGCUCUGGAGCACCCACAAACAGAAUCCAUCUGUGGCUAUGUCAUUACCACCACUGGAAAACAUUAAUAAAACGUUAGGUAGGAAAGGAGUGUGUGCUUUCACUCACAGGAACUCUUUGACCGAGAAAUACAUUUAAAACUCAAGAGGAUAUAUUAAAAUAUGUGAUUCCAGGUUAUUACUCUUCCACAUUUUGUCAAAUCCCUGGCAGUCCGUUAUUUUCAGCUCCUUUUUUUUUUCUCUCUUAAAUAAGAUAAAAUGCUGCAGAGGCUAAAUGCAGAGUCUUCACAUUACUAUUCUGUCCAUCCAGUGUUGGAAUUGAUUAAAGUAAAUUAAAUGACAGGUAAGAUUUUCUUUCUGACAAUGAUGUCCUUUCUUAUUCUUCCUUUUUUUCAGAGUUGCUUAGUUUAAAUGUAUUAGUUUAGGGAUUUCUUUCUGAUGACUGCAUUAAUAGAGCAAUUCCCCCAAGGAAAGGAGAAAGAAAGAGAUUCCUAUUUGUGUGAACCUUUCCUUCCCUGUUGGAAACACUUUAACUUCUUCAGGCAUUUCAUUGUUCCACUUUUGAAAGCCUUUGUUUUUUAUAGCAUCUCUGUUCAUAGCAAGAACAGUAUGCACUUCUGGUUUACAUAUUUUUUUAAUUCUAAUACUUCUCACAAACUGAUGGUGGCAGUGAUGAUUGUAAAAGAUUAUAUCUGUGAUUACUUUUUUAGCUUGAAGAGAAUCCAGUGCCAUUUGCAGAAGAGUAAACUGGAUAAGAAGUGAACAUCAUAAAUGGUUUGGCAUCACUGAAGGGGUUUAUUACAGCUCCCUUUGGAUACUGGAAGGCCGCAAUGAGGUCACCCUGAAGCCUUCUCUUUUCCAAGCUGAACAAUCCCAAUUCUCUCAGCCUUUCCUCAUAGGAGAGGUGCUUUCUUCCAAUCAUCUUGGUAGCCCUCCUCUGGAGUCACUACAACAGGUUGAUUAUCCUUCCAGU